UCUCAAAACCUCAGGAAAGAAGUCAGCAUAAUCAAAACCCCACCCACCCUGGAUGUUCACUCAUCUCCCCUCUCCCAUCAGGCAAAAGGCAUACUCAGUAAAUCCAAGAAACAAUAGAAUCAAUGAAAGACCACACCCAGUGUGAUCAAACAACCAAUGUGCAAAAGACAACAAACUGCAAAUAUAAAAGAGAAAAUCGAUGAAAUAGAGGGCAAACCUCUUGGCCCGGGAAGAAAUCUACUGAAUCUAUCUAGAAGUACUUUCAGG